GGUUAAGCGACUAAGCGUACACGGUGGAUGCCCUGGCAGUCAGAGGCGAUGAAGGACGUGCUAAUCUGCGAUAAGCGUCGGUAAGGUGAUAUGAACCGUUAUAACCGGCGAUUUCCGAAUGGGGAAACCCAGUGUGAUUCGUCACACUAUCAUUAACUGAAUCCAUAGGUUAAUGAGGCGAACCGGGGGAACUGAAACAUCUAAGUACCCCGAGGAAAAGAAAUCAACCGAGAUUCCCCCAGUAGCGGCGAGCGAACGGGGAGCAGCCCAGAGCCUGAAUCAGUGUGUGUGUUAGUGGAAGCGUCUGGAAAGGCGCGCGAUACAGGGUGACAGCCCCGUACACAAAAAUGCACAUGCUGUGAGCUCGAUGAGUAGGGCGGGACACGUGGUAUCCUGUCUGAAUAUGGGGGGACCAUCCUCCAAGGCUAAAUACUCCUGACUGACCGAUAGUGAACCAGUACCGUGAGGGAAAGGCGAAAAGAACCCCGGCGAGGGGAGUGAAAAAGAACCUGAAACCGUGUACGUACAAGCAGUGGGAGCACAGAGCAAUCUGUGUGACUGCGUACCUUUUGUAUAAUGGGUCAGCGACUUAUAUUCUGUAGCAAGGUUAACCGAAUAGGGGAGCCGAAGGGAAACCGAGUCUUAACUGGGCGUUAAGUUGCAGGGUAUAGACCCGAAACCCGGUGAUCUAGCCAUGGGCAGGUUGAAGGUUGGGUAACACUAACUGGAGGACCGAACCGACUAAUGUUGAAAAAUUAGCGGAUGACUUGUGGCUGGGGGUGAAAGGCCAAUCAAACCGGGAGAUAGCUGGUUCUCCCCGAAAGCUAUUUAGGUAGCGCCUCGUGAAUUCAUCUCCGGGGGUAGAGCACUGUUUCGGCAAGGGGGUCAUCCCGACUUACCAACCCGAUGCAAACUGCGAAUACCGGAGAAUGUUAUCACGGGAGACACACGGCGGGUGCUAACGUCCGUCGUGAAGAGGGAAACAACCCAGACCGCCAGCUAAGGUCCCAAAGUCAUGGUUAAGUGGGAAACGAUGUGGGAAGGCCCAGACAGCCAGGAUGUUGGCUUAGAAGCAGCCAUCAUUUAAAGAAAGCGUAAUAGCUCACUGGUCGAGUCGGCCUGCGCGGAAGAUGUAACGGGGCUAAACCAUGCACCGAAGCUGCGGCAGCGACGCUUAUGCGUUGUUGGGUAGGGGAGCGUUCUGUAAGCCUGUGAAGGUGUACUGUGAGG
rnacentral:rRNA from 1 species